rnacentral:rRNA from 1 species
UACGGAGGGGGCUAGCGUUGUUCGGAAUUACUGGGCGUAAAGCGCACGUAGGCGGACUGUUAAGUCGGGGGUGAAAUCCUGGGGCUCAACCUCAGAAUUGCCUCCGAUACUGGCAGUCUCGAGUGCGGGAGAGGUGAGUGGAAUUCCCAGUGUAGAGGUGAAAUUCGUAGAUAUUGGGAAGAACACCAGUGGCGAAGGCGGCUCACUGGCCCGUAACCGACGCUGAGGUGCGAAAGCGUGGGGAGCAAACAGG